rnacentral:antisense_RNA from 1 species
GUCUAUGGCGGCUGUGCGCGGGAGGCGUUUGCCUGCCGGGGAAUGCUCCAGCCCGGUUUACCACCCCGCGUACAGCUGCCACCUAA